rnacentral:rRNA from 1 species
AUUGAACGCUGGCGGCAUGCCUUACACAUGCGAGUCGAACGGCAGCACGGGUGCUUGCACCUGGUGGCGAGUGGCGAACGGGUGAGUAAUAUAUCGGAACGUACCUUAUUGUGGGGGAUAACGCAGCGAAAGCUGUGCUAAUACCGCAUAAUCCCUAAGGGGGAAAGCGGGGGACCGUAAGGCCUCGCGCAAUUAGAGCGGCCGAUACCUGAUUAGCUAGUUGGUGAGGUAAAGGCUCACCAAGGCAACGAUCAGUAGCUGGUCUGAGAGGACGAUCAGCCACACUGGGACUGAGACACGGCCCAGACUCCUACGGGAGGCAGCAGUGGGGAAUUUUGGACAAUGGGGGCAACCCUGAUCCAGCAAUGCCGCGUGAGUGAAGAAGGCCUUCGGGUUGUAAAGCUCUUUUGUCAGGGAAGAAACAGCAGCUCUAACACAGUUUGCGAAUGACGGUACCUGAAGAAUAAGCACCGGCUAACUACGUGCCAGCAGCCGCUGUAA